ACUCUUUUUUACAAAACCCUAGACAAUACUCGAGUCUGUAUUCUUCGUCCCUUAUGAUAUGCUUCCAUCUUAUUUCGGCGAUCUUUCUUCUUCUUGACUCCUGCCCUUUCAAUCUUCCGAUGAACCCAGUAAGUUUUUUUAUCUUUUGUUUCGUUCUGUGCUACCAUGAUUGACGAAUCCUUCGCUCCAUGGUAUACCUCCAUUGCUUCGAGUUUCGAUGUUUCCACUCGAGCUCUUCUUUAUUCUAAAUAUGGGAUACCCUAUAAUUAUCAAAUUCAUCUUCCUUCUCUGAAUGAGCGUCCUCAACUUCCUCCUGAUGGACACCUCAACUUUUUCUCUGAUCAACUAGUGACUGGCUUGUGCUUCCUUGUUCAUCCCUUCCUAUUGGAAGUAAGUCAAUAUUUCCAUAUCUCCUUACAAUAAUUUAUCCCUAAUGCUUUCCGCUAUAUAUGUGGGGUGUAUAUGUUGUUCCGCUUAUUCCACAUUUCUCCCACCCCUUACAACUUGGACCUAUUUGCUUAUCCCCAAAAAUCGAAACAUGUGACUUUUCUUUUUCAAUUCUGUUCGAAUGCGAUUUUCUUUGAGGAUAUGCCGUCUUCAAUCAAGAGUUGGAAGUCACAUUUCUUCUUUUUGAAAACUUGGUCCUCUUCAUGGUAAUUCUCUUUUCCUCCUCUUCCAGAUUCAACAAAACAUAAAUAAGAUCCUAUUUCUGUUUCUUAUCUAUCUAAACUAGGUGGACAAAGGUUCAAAAUUCACUGUUGGCUACAAGAUGAAUUCUUGUACCUUUUUGGAUUAAGCUCUGGUCAAAAGAAGCUACGAUGUUCUUUUGGUAAGUUCGAGCAAUUCAAUCUUUAUGUUAUCACUAAUUGAGAUGCCUCUCCUUUUAUGAAGUGAACUCCGUUUUGAGAACUUUGAUUAAUAAAAAGAUCAUCCUCUCUGAAGAGGAGCUUCAAGCUAAAGAACAAGAACUAUUAGCCGAGCAACUAACCGCGCAACUAAAUCUAACGCAGCAGUACCUUCAGAGGGGCCUGCUCCUGCUUUAUCAUCUCCAUUAGAGGAGUCUCCCUCAGAGCUAGAAUAACCCUUAAAGAGGAAACGAAGGGGCAAAAACUCACUCUCGCCCCUUCCCCUAAAAGACAGGCCAUAACCAUCCCAGAGAAUGAUGCCCCUGGAAAGGUGUCGUCGCCGGAGCUCACCCUAUUGGCUCUUUAUCCGAGCCUUACAUAACUUAGUCCCUUGCAGAUGGGGAAUGCUCCUCUUUACCAAGUGAUCCUCCUGUUCCCAGCCUUUUGCCUUCCCCUCAGGGAAGAUCUAGCGGUGUCGUGCCCGAAGAGCUUAGGCCACCACCAUGCUUUAUUGUUUACCUUCCACCCCUAGUACAAUAUCUCCAUACUGUGUUCUUCCUAUUACCUUUCCUUUUUUAUUAGGAGGUUGUUUGGUAGAAGCUUGGUCCGAUGCUCAAAAAUUAAUUAGGGGACUCUCUCAUAAAGAGUUAUCGGAUGAGCUCACAUACUCACAAACUAAGAGCUGGGCCUUUAACAUGCAUGUUGCUCAACAUUUCUACGACCUAGCGUAAGAAAAGGAGUUAUUACAACAACAAAACUCCUAGGCUUCAAGUGUUAGGGAUUUCGAAUGAAUAAAAGUGUUAUCUUCCUAACUUCGAGAAGCCCAAGAGCUGGCUAAGAAUGAGCUCCAGAAAGUAGAUCAAUUGAAGACUGCUUUAGAUUCCGUUGAGGCUUAGCUUCAAAUAGAGGUAAGUUUUCAAGCAGAUUUACAGGCGAAGUUAACUGAACAACUUGAGAAGAAUGCCCAAUUAUCUGAUCAGCUACAAUCACAAAAAGUUGCCCAUACUGUCGAGUUAACAGCCAAAACCUCUGAGUUGGUGAAUCUAACCGCUGAGAAAGAUUCCCUGCUAUCAGACUUAACCACUAAUCACACUAAUUUGGUAUCCGCUCAGUUCAAAAUAACAACACUUCGAUCUGAGUGGACAAACUAUCGAGUAGGGGACGAGGGUCGGUUCCAGUUAAAGAAGAAGGAACUCUUUGCAAUUGAAGAGUUCAAUUCUCCGAUUGCUGAUGCCAUUAUCCAAGCGCUCAAUUUGGGGGUACAAGGAGCCAUGGAACAACCGAAGGAGAGUGGCUAUUUAACUUCCAACCCUCCUGAUAUCUUUCUGGACCUCGCGCAUAUAACUCAGGAAGCUGCCCCAGAUUUAUUCCCAGAAUUUACAUGACUUAUUUUGUUUUUUAUCCUUUUAUCCCGCCAUACACUUUUUAAAUGUUAACUUCUUAAUGUGACAAGUUUGUAAUUUUUACUUAAUUCUAAAAAAGGUUUCUACUGCGACUUCAUUCCUUCAUAA